UACGUAGGGACCAAGCGUUGUUCGGAUUUACUGGGCGUAAAGGGCGCGUAGGCGGCUUGACAAGUCACUUGUGAAAUCUCCGGGCUUAACUCGGAACGGCCAAGUGAAACUGUCAUGCUAGAGUGCAGAAGGGGCAAUCGGAAUUCUUGGUGUAGCGGUGAAAUGCGUUGAUAUCAGGAGGAACACCCAUGGCGAAGGCAGCAUACUGGUCAUCAUCUGACGCUGAGGCGCGAAAGCGUGGGUAGCAAACAGG
rnacentral:rRNA from 1 species